CCUACGGGUGGCAGCAGUGGGGAAUAUUGGACAAUGGGGGAAACCCUGAUCCAGCGACGCCGCGUGAGUGAAGAAGUAUUUCUGUACGUAAAGCUCUAUCAGCAGGAAAGAAAAUGACGGUACCUGACUAAGAAGCCCCGGCUAACUACGUGCCAGCAUCCGCGGUAAUACGUAGGGUGCAAGCGUUAUCCGGAUUUACUGGGUGUAAAGGGAGCGUAGACGGCAGCGCAAGUCUGGAGUUAAAUGCUGGGGCCCAACACCGGAACUGCUCUGGAAACUGUGAAGCUGGAGUGCAGGAGAGGUAAGCGGAAUGCGUGGUGUAGCGGUGAAAUGCGUAGAUAUCAGGAGGAACACCGGCGGCGAAGGCGGCUUACUGGACUGUAACUGACGUUGAGGCUCGAAGGCGUGGGGAGCAAACAGGAUUAGAUACCCCGGUAGUC
rnacentral:rRNA from 1 species